UACGAAGGGGGCUAGCGUUGUUCGGAAUUACUGGGCGUAAAGCGCACGUAGGCGGAUCGAUCAGUCAGACGUGAAAUCCCUCGGCUUAACCGGGGAACUGCGUCUGAUACUGGAUGGCUUGAGGUUGGGAGAGGGAUGCGGAAUUCCAGGUGUAGCGGUGAAAUGCGUAGAUAUCUGGAGGAACACCGGUGGCGAAGGCGGCAUCCUGGACCAAUUCUGACGCUGAGUGAGCGAAAGCCAGGGGAGCAAACGGG
rnacentral:rRNA from 1 species